GAUUAGGGCUGCAUGUGUUUGGUGUCUUUAACAUCCUUACUUAGGCUGUCAUUAACAGGAUUUAUGGAUGAGUUAUGUGUAAUAAAAAUAAGAAAUUCUCUUAUCUGCAAUCGUCUAGUGAGCUAGAGCUUUUAAAUAUAAGCCUCCUGGAUGAAAUCAGCUAGUUGUGUUGCACUGCUGACAUUUCAGUCCCUAUAAAAGGGGCAGCAGUCCUUUUUGGCAAGUAGAAAACAUUACCAUUACAUGUGUCAAGAUGGCUCGUCAAGGCUACUUCAAACGGACGGCAUCCUCGAUGGUUCCAAUUUCCAGCCCAUUCCCCAAUUUUCAACCCCAAUGACAGACAACACACGCUGGAAUGGCUGUUUAGCUAAAGAAGGGAAUUGAGCACCCCAUUUCCAUAUCAAUCGGAUUAGUUCCAAGACCAGGGAAGUAGGAGUAAUGUAAGUAACCGUACAAAUUUAAAUAUAGGACAUCAAAAACAUUGUUAGGCAUUCAUUUAUUUUUGAAGCAGCCCUGGCCCUCUGUUUGUCUCUGUGAAGAUGAGAUGAAAAUGUAUCUCUUCAAUUUUAUUUUCAUUUUAUUUUGAAAGGCGCUCAACGGCACCCGUAUUUGAACGUUUCAUGUGCACCGUGGCACCCCGCUGCUCUUGUAUGCUUAACCUCUUUUGUGAAGCGAGUAUGUCACAUCAAGCAAUGCACUUGUUCAGAAUGCAACACCAAAACAAUUUCAGGUGGGCAGCGUUCACACAGGCUUUUGAACGUUUCUGCAGGAGCGGACAGUAAAGUGUUUGGCUGUGGACUCCUGUCGUGCUGAAACCAUUUUGUACUUCACAGUUAUGCUUACACAUUUCAUUCGCCGUGGAUGUAAACAUAUGUGUUUCAGCUGUGUAUGUUU